UCUAAGUCCAACUAAAGUCAGGCAGAGUGCUUCUACUAUAAGAAGUAGGAUCAUUGGAAGAGGAAUUAUCCUCAAUACAUUGCUUCCCUUGAUCUGAACAGGCUUAAGAAGAAGAAGCAACCGAUUGCUAAGCAAGGUAAUUAUAGAUAACUCCUUGCAACUUCUCAAUUUGUGAUACAAUGACCUGGAUAUUAGAUACUGGUAGUCCUAUUAAUAUAUAUAAUUUAUUGCAGAAAGUUCAGGUC
rnacentral:lncRNA from 1 species